UAUUAAUCCAGGGACCAGCAAGCCGUGUGGCAGGGCUAAAUAAAAACCAAGUCGAAAACCUAAUAAAAACAGAUUAUGUUCAAAAAAAUUCCCUAUCAAACUACAUUUGAUAAGAAAUUAGAAUAUAUUUUAUUCAAAAAUAAGAAACCCAAAUUACUGAAUCAGACCUCUUAAAAACAGCAUGGUGUAAUGAACUUGGUUCAAAACCCACUGAUAUAACUAUAUUGAUAAUUUAGUACAAAUGGUUUCCUUACUUAAA
rnacentral:lncRNA from 1 species